rnacentral:tRNA from 1 species
ACCUGGCUGGCUCUGUCAGUAGAGCAUGUGACUUCUGAUUUCUGAGUUGUGAGUUCAAGCCUCACGUUAGGUA